CCUACGGGUGGCAGCAGUAGGGAAUUUUCGACAAUGGGGGAAACCCUGACCGAGCAACGCCGCGUGAACGAAGAAGGAAUUCGUUCUGUAAACUUCUGUUAUCAAGGAAGAAAUACAGAUUAAGGAACUGCCAUCCGCGUGACGAUACUUUGUUAGAAAGCCACGGCUAACUACGUGCCAGCAGCCUCGGUAAUACGUCGGUGGCAAGCGUUAUCCUGAAUUAUUGGGCGUAAAGAAGGAGCAGGUGGCAUCAAAGGUCUGUGGUGAAAGACUGAAGCUUAACCUCAGUAAGCCAUAGAAACCGGGUAGCUAGAGUGCAGGAGAGGAGAGUGGAAUUCCAUGUGUAGCGGUGAAAUGCGUAGAUAUAUGGAGGAACACCAGUGGCGAAGGCGACGCUCUGGCCUGUAACUGACGCUCAGUCCCGAAAGCGUGGGGAGCAAAUAGGAUUAGAUAUCCCGGUAGUC
rnacentral:rRNA from 1 species